rnacentral:rRNA from 1 species
UACGAAGGGGGCUAGCGUUGUUCGGAAUUACUGGGCGUAAAGCGCACGUAGGCGGAUCGAUCAGUCAGGGGUGAAAUCCCAGGGCUCAACCCUGGAACUGCCUUUGAUACUGUCGAUCUGGAGUAUGGAAGAGGUGAGUGGAAUUCCGAGUGUAGAGGUGAAAUUCGUAGAUAUUCGGAGGAACAACAGUAGCGAAGGCGGUUGUCUGGACUAUUACUGACGCUGAGGCGCGAAAGUGUGGGGAGCAGACAGG